GCAGCAGCCGCGGUAAUACGAAGGGUGCAAGCGUUAAUCGGAAUUACUGGGCGUAAAGCGUGCGUAGGCGGUUUGUUAAGUCUGCUGUGAAAUCCCCGGGCUCAACCUGGGAAUGGCAGUGGAUACUGGCAAGCUAGAGUGUGUCAGAGGAUGGUGGAAUUCCCGGUGUAGCGGUGAAAUGCGUAGAGAUCGGGAGGAACAUCAGUGGCGAAGGCGGCCAUCGGGGACAACACUGACGCUGAGGCACGAAAGCGUGGGGAGCAAACAGGAUUAGAGACCCCCGUAGUCCCUGUCUCUUAUAC
rnacentral:rRNA from 1 species